AACGUAGGAGACAAACGUUAUCCGGAGUUACUGGGCGUAAAGGGCGUGUAGGUGGUUGUGUAAGUCUGGCGUGAAAUUUUUCGGCUUAACCGGGAAAGGUCGUCGGAUACUGCAAAACUAGAGGACGGUAGAGGCGUGUGGAAUUCCGGGUGUAGCGGUGGAAUGCGUAGAGAUCCGGAAGAACACCGGUGGCGAAGGCGGCCUGCUGGGCAGUGGCUGACGCUGAGGCGCGACAGCGUGGGGAGCAAACAGG
rnacentral:rRNA from 1 species